UAAUUCUUCAGCUUCACUUGUGCCUUCUUCGCCUAGUAAAAUAUAACGUCCUAAUGUCAACCAACCAUGGUUGUAGGUUUGGAUCCUACUUGGGUGAGACGAAUUCAUAAUAAAAGGGCUAUCUUUAUUUACCCCCAACUCGAAGCCUACUUACCAUAUAACCGAUUCGUUACAUACACAAAUGUGGAAUAUAAGCACAGAACAAUCUGGAAGAAAACAUUCAAAUCCCAAAUGUCAUUAUUUUGCAAGUCCAUGAACGCUAGAAGAAAUCCUGCAAACAUCAAGCAUCACAGCAGCAAAAAUCUGAGAUAGCAGACUAAAAGUGCAUACAAGACGAGUAUACGGGUGCUAUUAACUACAAUUAGUAUGUCGGCAUUCUAUUUUUCAAUUUUUCUGAAGUUUUCUUUUUUAAUAAGCAAUUCUCGCAUGUGACGAGAUUUAGUAAUGCAACAGCUAAGAAUUAUCACCUGAACAAGAAAAAGUAGAUGCAUUCUUCUGCUGAUCGCCUUGAAGUUGAAUAACCUUUAGAAGAAAGUCAUGUUUGAAUGCGAAAAUCGAAAUGCAACAAAACAAGAGGAACAGGGACACAGAAUACUUCAUCCAGAAUUGUUCAAAAGCAAUACAAACUUGGCCUAGUU
rnacentral:lncRNA from 1 species